rnacentral:lncRNA from 1 species
AUGCCUCUGGGCCUGGGACAGCUUAUAUCCAUUAUAAAAGGCAGCCCAGCUCCUUGCUCACUCAUCCACCGCUCCUGCAUUCUCUUUGGAACCAGGUACAACUCAAGCUUCAAGACAUGUCCUGCUGUGACCAGUGCCAGCCAUGCCAGCCCUGCGGCCCAACCGCCCCCAUCCUCAGCCCCUCCCCGCAGACCCCCGCCGUGGGCUCCUCCACCUCCGCUGCUGUUGGCAGCAUCCUCAGCUCUGAGGGUGUGCCCAUCAGCUCGGGGGGCUUGGACCUCUCCUGCAUUUCCAACCGCUACUGUGGCUCUGCGGGAAGGAGCUGAGGAUGGGUCCAGGCAGGGUCACCACCACGGGAGAGGGCUCAAUGACAACAUUGGAGCUCUGGCACUGUCUGACACAGGGUUCAUUGCAGCUGCUGGCCAGAGGAGUCGGGCCACAGGGCCGGCAUGGCACACACUGGGAGUAGCAGGACAUGACUUGAGACUGGAAGUAAACCUAGGAAAGAGGGUUAAGAGGAAAGAGAGUGUUUGACUGUGUGAGGGGCAACCUGAAUAGCCUCUCAUGAAGGAGCCAAGGCAACUAUUAAGAACACAGAUGGAGGCUGUGACAGGAAGUCAUAUCCCUUUUUCAUGCCAGAACCCUGCAGAGAAUAGCCAGGUUCAAAGAGUGUCUCUUUGAGUGGAUAAAUCCCAGGCCAUUUAAGCUGUGCCCCAGACUCUCUGAGCAGACCUUAUCCCCUCCAUACUCUCCUGAUAGCAAGGAGCUCCAAUCCCCAGCAUAGGAUAGAGUCACUAUUAAAUAAAAUGCCCAUUGAGACAAAGUCUCGUUUUGCA